rnacentral:rRNA from 1 species
UACGUAGGGAGCAAGCGUUGUCCGGAAUCAUUGGGCGUAAAGCGCGCGUAGGCGGUCCUGUAAGUCCGUUGUGAAAGUCAAAGGCUCAACCUUUGAAAGCCGAUGGAUACUGCAGGGCUAGAGUCCGGAAGAGGCGAGUGGAAUUCCUGGUGUAGCGGUGGAAUGCGCAGAUAUCAGGAGGAACACCAAUAGCGAAGGCAGCUCGCUGGGACGGUACUGACGCUAAGGCGCGAAAGCGUGGGGAGCGAACAGG